UACAGAGGUCUCAAGCGUUGUUCGGAUUCAUUGGGCGUAAAGGGUGCGUAGGUGGCGCGGUAAGUCAGGUGUGAAAUCUCGGAGCUUAACUCCGAAACUGCAUUUGAUACUGGCGUGCUUGAGGACUGGAGAGGAGACUGGAAUUCACGGUGUAGCAGUGAAAUGCGUAGAUAUCGUGAGGAAGACCAGUGGCGAAGGCGGGUCUCUGGACAGUUCCUGACACUGAGGCACGAAGGCCAGGGGAGCAAACGGG
rnacentral:rRNA from 1 species